rnacentral:rRNA from 1 species
GAUGAACGCUGGCGGCGUGCCUAAUACAUGCAAGUCGAGCGAACAGAUGAGGCGCUUGCUUCUCUGACGUUAGCGGCGGACGGGUGAGUAACACGUAGAUAACCUACCUAUAAGACUGGGGUAACUUCGGGAAAGCGGAUCUAAUACCGGAUAAUAUAGUGAACCGCAUGGUUCAAUAGUGCAAGAGGGUUUUGCUGUCACUUGUAGAGGGAUCCGGGCCGGAUUAGCUAGUUGGUAGGGUAACGGCCUACCAAGGCAACGAUGCGUAGCCGACCUGAGAGGGUGAUCAGCCACACUGGAACUGAGACACGGUCCAGACUCCUACGGGAGGCAGCAGUAGGGAAUAUUCGACAAUGGGCGAAAGCCUGACGGAGCAACGCCGCGUGAGUGAAGAAGGUCUUCGGAUCGUAAAACUCUUUUAUUAGGGAAGAACAGCUGUGUGAGAAACUAUGCACGUCUUGACGGUACCUAAACAGAAAGCAACGGCUAACUACGUG